rfam:Hordeum vulgare subsp. vulgare, WGS project CAJW01000000 data, contig: morex_contig_38999
CGUGUACUCCCUCCGUCCCAAAAUUCUUGUCUUAGAUUUAUCUAGAUAUGAAUGUAUCUANNNNNNUUUUAGUAUUUAGAUACAUCCAUUCCUAGACAAACCUAAGACAAGAAUUUUGGGACGGAGGGAGUAUAAA